UACGUAGGCAGCAAGCGUUGUUCGGAGUUACUGGCGUAAAGAGUAUGUAGGCGGUUGGGUAAGUUUGGUGUGAAAUCUCCCGGCUUAACUGGGAGGGUGCGCUAAAGACUGCCUGGCUCGAGUGUGGGAGAGGAAAGCGGAAUUCCUGGUGUGAGCGGUGAAAUGCGUAGAUAUCAGGAGGAACACCUGCGGUGUAGACGGCUUUCUGGACCAUAACUGACGCUGAGAUAACGAAAGCGUGGGUAGCAAACAGG
rnacentral:rRNA from 1 species